GUCUUAACUGGGCGUUAAGUUGCAGGGUAUAGACCCGAAACCCGGUGAUCUAGCCAUGGGCAGGUUGAAGGUUGGGUAACACUAACUGGAGGACCGAACCGACUAAUGUUGAAAAAUUAGCGGAUGACUUGUGGCUGGGGGUGAAAGGCCAAUCAAACCGGGAGAUAGCUGGUUCUCCCCGAAAGCUAUUUAGGUAGCGCCUCGUGAAUUCAUCUCCGGGGGUAGAGCACUGUUUCGGCAAGGGGGUCAUCCCGACUUACCAACCCGAUGCAAACUGCGAAUACCGGAGAAUGUUAUCACGGGAGACACACGGCGGGUGCUAACGUCCGUCGUGAAGAGGGAAACAACCCAGACCGCCAGCUAAGGUCCCAAAGUCAUGGUUAAGUGGGAAACGAUGUGGGAAGGCCCAGACAGCCAGGAUGUUGGCUUAGAAGCAGCCAUCAUUUAAAGAAAGCGUAAUAGCUCACUGGUCGAGUCGGCCUGCGCGGAAGAUGUAACGGGGCUAAACCAUGCACCGAAGCUGCGGCAGCGACACUGUGUGUUGUUGGGUAGGGGAGCGUUCUGUAAGCCUGUGAAGGUGUGCUGUGAGGCAUGCUGGAGGUAUCAGAAGUGCGAAUGCUGACAUAAGUAACGAUAAAGCGGGUGAAAAGCCCGCUCGCCGGAAGACCAAGGGUUCCUGUCCAACGUUAAUCGGGGCAGGGUGAGUCGACCCCUAAGGCGAGGCCGAAAGGCGUAGUCGAUGGGAAACAGGUUAAUAUUCCUGUACUUGGUGUUACUGCGAAGGGGGGACGGAGAAGGCUAUGUUGGCCGGGCGACGGUUGUCCCGGUUUAAGCGUGUAGGCUGGUUUUCCAGGCAAAUCCGGAAAAUCAAGGCUGAGGCGUGAUGACGAGGCACUACGGUGCUGAAGCAACAAAUGCCCUGCUUCCAGGAAAAGCCUCUAAGCAUCAGGUAACAUCAAAUCGUACCCCAAACCGACACAGGUGGUCAGGUAGAGAAUACCAAGGCGCUUGAGAGAACUCGGGUGAAGGAACUAGGCAAAAUGGUGCCGUAACUUCGGGAGAAGGCACGCUGAUAUGUAGGUGAAGUCCCUCGCGGAUGGAGCUGAAAUCAGUCGAAGAUACCAGCUGGCUGCAACUGUUUAUUAAAAACACAGCACUGUGCAAACACGAAAGUGGACGUAUACGGUGUGACGCCUGCCCGGUGCCGGAAGGUUAAUUGAUGGGGUCAGCGCAAGCGAAGCUCUUGAUCGAAGCCCCGGUAAACGGCGGCCGUAACUAUAACGGUCCUAAGGUAGCGAAAUUCCUUGUCGGGUAAGUUCCGACCUGCACGAAUGGCGUAAUGAUGGCCAGGCUGUCUCCACCCGAGACUCAGUGAAAUUGAACUCGCUGUGAAGAUGCAGUGUACCCGCGGCAAGACGGAAAGACCCCGUGAACCUUUACUAUAGCUUGACACUGAACAUUGAGCCUUGAUGUGUAGGAUAGGUGGGAGGCUUUGAAGUGUGGACGCCAGUCUGCAUGGAGCCGACCUUGAAAUACCACCCUUUAAUGUUUGAUGUUCUAACGUGGACCCGUGAUCCGGGUUGCGGACAGUGUCUGGUGGGUAGUUUGACUGGGGCGGUCUCCUCCUAAAGAGUAACGGAGGAGCACGAAGGUUGGCUAAUCCUGGUCGGACAUCAGGAGGUUAGUGCAAUGGCAUAAGCCAGCUUGACUGCGAGCGUGACGGCGCGAGCAGGUGCGAAAGCAGGUCAUAGUGAUCCGGUGGUUCUGAAUGGAAGGGCCAUCGCUCAACGGAUAAAAGGUACUCCGGGGAUAACAGGCUGAUACCGCCCAAGAGUUCAUAUCGACGGCGGUGUUUGGCACCUCGAUGUCGGCUCAUCACAUCCUGGGGCUGAAGUAGGUCCCAAGGGUAUGGCUGUUCGCCAUUUAAAGUGGUACGCGAGCUGGGUUUAGAACGUCGUGAGACAGUUCGGUCCCUAUCUGCCGUGGGCGCUGGAGAACUGAGGGGGGCUGCUCCUAGUACGAGAGGACCGGAGUGGACGCAUCACUGGUGUUCGGGUUGUCAUGCCAAUGGCACUGCCCGGUAGCUAAAUGCGGAAGAGAUAAGUGCUGAAAGCAUCUAAGCACGAAACUUGCCCCGAGAUGAGUUCUCCCUGACCCUUUAAGGGUCCUGAAGGAACGUUGAAGACGACGACGUUGAUAGGCCGGGUGUGUAAG
rnacentral:rRNA from 1 species